UACAGAGGUUUCAAGCGUUGUUCGGAUUCAUUGGGCGUAAAGGGUGUGUAGGCGGUGCGGUAAGUCGGGUGUGAAAUCUCGGAGCUUAACUCCGAAACUGCAUUCGAUACUGCCGUGCUUGAGGACUGGAGAGGAGACUGGAAUUUACGGUGUAGCGGUGAAAUGCGUAGAUAUCGUAAGGAAGACCAGUGGCGAAGGCGGGUCUCUGGACAGUUCCUGACGCUGAGGCACGAAGGUCAGGGGAGCAAACGGG
rnacentral:rRNA from 1 species